rnacentral:rRNA from 1 species
UACGGGGGGGGCAAGCGGUUGUUCGGAAUUACUGGGCGUAAAGGGCGCGUAGGCGGGCUUUCAAGUUCGGGCGUGAAAUCUCCGGGCUUAACCCGGAAGGGUCGUUCGAUACUGUUGAGCUAGAGUGUGGAAGAGGCAACUAGAAUUCCGUGUGUAGCGGUGAAAUGCGUAGAUAUACGGAGGAAUACCUGAGGCGAAGGCGGGUUGCUGGGCCAACACUGACGCUGAUGCGCGAAAGCCAGGGGAGCAAACGGG